GUUGUGAGGUUAAGCGAAUAAGCGUACACGGUGGAUGCCUAGGCAAUCAGAGGCGAUGAAGGACGUGCUAAUCUGCGAAAAGCGUCGGUAAGGUGAUAUGAACCGCUAUACCCGACGAUAUCCGAAUGGGGAAACCCAGUAUCCAAUGGAUACUAUCAUUAACUGAAUCCAUAGGUUAAUGAGGCGAACCGGGAGAACUGAAACAUCUCAGUACCCCGAGGAAAAGAAAUCAACCGAGAUUCCCCUAGUAGCGGCGAGCGAACGGGGAGCAGCCCAGAGUCUUAAUCAAUAGCAGUGUCAGGAGAACGGUCUGGAAAGUCCGGCAGUAAAGGGUGAUAGCCCCGUAUCUGAAGAUGCUGUUAUUGUGAACUCGACGAGUAGGGCGGGACACGUGUUAUCCUGUCUGAAUAUGGGGGGACCAUCCUCCAAGGCUAAAUACUCCUGAUUGACCGAUAGUGAACCAGUACCGUGAGGGAAAGGCGAAAAGAACCCCGGCGAGGGGAGUGAAAAAGAACCUGAAACCGUGUACGUACAAGCAGUAGGAGCCUCUUUAUGGGGUGACUGCGUACCUUUUGUAUAAUGGGUCAGCGACUUAUAUUCUGUAGCAAGGUUAACCGUAUAGGGGAGCC
rnacentral:rRNA from 1 species